rnacentral:rRNA from 1 species
AACGAACGCUGGCGGCAGGCCUAACACAUGCAAGUCGUGCGCGCCUUCGGGUGAGCGGCGACGGGUGAGUAACGCGUGGGAAUGUGCCCUUCUGUUGAGGAUAGCCCCGGGAAACUGGGAGUAAUACUCGAUACGCCCUACGGGGGAAGGAAGGAUCAGCCCGCGUCUGAUUAGGUAGUUGGUGGGGUAAUGGCCUACCAAGCCUACGAUCAGUAGCUGGUUUUUAGAGGAUGAUCAGCCACACUGGGACUGAGACACGGCCCAGACUCCUACGGGAGGCAGCAGUGGGGAAUCUUAGACAAUGGGGGCAACCCUGAUCUAGCCAUGCCGCGUGAGUGAUGAAGGCCUUAGGGUCGUAAAGCUCUUUCGCCAGGGAUGAUAAUGACAGUACCUGGUAAAGAAACCCCGGCUAACUCCGUG